rnacentral:tRNA from 9 species
AGGGUUGUAGUUAAAUAUAACAUUUGGUUUGCAACCAAAAAGUAUUGAAUUGUCAAUCAACCUUA